rfam:Bacillus sp. SJS contig_29, whole genome shotgun sequence.
UCUGGUAAUUAUGGCAGAGAGGUCACACCCGUUCCCAUACCGAACACGGAAGUUAAGCUCUUUAGCGCCGAUGGUAGUUGGGGGUUUCCCCCUGUGAGAGUAGGACGUUGCCAGGU